AGGAAAUAGAUACCCCGGUAGUCCACGCCGUAAACGAUGGGCACUAGGUGCUGGGGGGAGCGACCCCUUCAGUGCCGCAGCUAAACGCGAUAAGUGCCCCGCCUGGGGAGUACGGCCGCAAGGCUGAAACUCAAAGGAAUUGACGGGGGCCCGCACAAGCGGUGGAGCAUGUGGUUUAAAUUCGAAGCAACGCGAAGAACCUUACCUAGGUUUGACAUGCUGGUGAAAGCCUCUGGAAACAGGGGCCCUUCUUCGGAACACCAGCACAGGUGCUGCAUGGCUGUCGUCAGCUCGUGUCGUGAGAUGUUGGGUUAAGUCCCGCAACGAGCGCAACCCUUGCCCCGUGUUACUAACAGGUAAAGCUGAGGACUCUCGGGGGACUGCCGGCGUCAAGCCGGAGGAAGGUGGGGACGACGUCAAGUCAUCAUGGCCCUUACGCCUAGGGCGACACACGUGCUACAAUGGCGAGGACAGAGGGCAGCAAGACGGCAACGUGGAGCGAAUCCCAGAAACCUCGUCUAAGUUCGGAUUGUGGGCUGCAACUCGCCC
rnacentral:rRNA from 1 species